UACGUAGGGUGCGAGCGUUAAUCGGAAUUACUGGGCGUAAAGCGUGCGCAGGCGGUUUUGUAAGCCAGAUGUGAAGGCCCCGGGCUUAACCUGGGAAUGGCAUUUGGGACUGCAAGGCUUGAGUGCGGCAGAGGGGGAUGGAAUUCCGCGUGUAGCAGUGAAAUGCGUAGAUAUGCGGAGGAACACCGAUGGCGAAGGCAGCCCCCUGGGCUAACACUGACGCUCAUGCACGAAAGCGUGGGGAGCAAACAGG
rnacentral:rRNA from 1 species